AUGAAGCCCUCUGCAGAUGUUGUCCUCCCAUAUGGUAUCCCAUAUGGCUGUAUUUCACUGCUGCUUGGUUUCAAAAGAUCUCUCUCUCCAGAGGCUGCUGAAAGGAGGAGCAGUGUGAGAAAAGAUGAGAGAAGGGGCUUGCAGAAAUCUAGAAGAGGAGGAAGAGGAGAAGUCAGGACGUAUCCACACACAGCGUGUGCCUCAGGGAGCCGCUGCAGGAACUGCAGACAGCAUGGCCUUUGGCACGAGAUGCUCAGGAGGGGGAGGAAUGGUGCUCAGAAGCAGUGCUGCAAUUGGGCAUUUUCUGGCGUGAAGCACAAGGCAGAUCUCCUUCCAGGGCAAGGACACAACAGUGGGGCACAGGGUAAGCAGUGCACGUGCAGGGACUCCUGGCACCCUCUGCUGAGCAGCCACAUGAGGGCUGUUCAGGUGCAGAUGCUCAUCUGGAGGUGCUGAAGGUACAGCCCUUUCCCAGCACUGCCCGUGUAUGGAGCCUUGGUGACCACAUUUCCACUCUGGGUGCACUGUUUGGGUCUGACAGACAGGCCCACAGAAGGUAUCACCUGCAAGGCCAACACAGACCUCUGUCAGGGCUCGUGACACUGCCCCUUACAUGCUGGGCAGACAGAGACUGCUGCAGACUUAAAGCACAAAAACUUAUUCAGUCCCCAGCAAGUGUUAGGAGAAAGCAAAAACCAUGGCCUUCUCCACAUCCAAUUCCCUCCAACAAUGAGAUCGUUAGGGGAGAACACCCAAAUCACCCAAUUACCAAGUAGAAUGAAUCUCUUCUGCCUCUACACCUCCCUGAUCUCCAGGAUCCAGGGCCAUCACAAACCUCCAGUAGUUGUCACCACUACCCCAAAAUACUUUCUCCAGCUACUAAGUCCCUUGCAACUGGACCUAGACCUGUGUCUGACUUCCUGGCAGAAAUUGCUGCUGCAGGUGUAAGCUGCUGCCCUGCUUUUCCACCAAGAAAGGCAAUACCUGUCCCAAAUAGACAGAGAACAAGAAAAAGGAGCUCCAUCUCCACAGUGCACUUCACAGUAAGUGCUAUAAUUUAUAGCACAUAAAUACUGUACAUACACCGCUGCGUUUUGCAGACAUUAUCAUCUCAAAGGGUGGGUAGGAGGUGGGAAAACAGCUUGUAACAACUGGAGCUUAGACAGCUGCUUUCUUUGCCACGUCUAAUGCUGUUUAGGGAGGUAAAAUAGGUCUACCCAGCAGUGCCUCUGCUUCUGCUAGGAUACACUGCAGCUCCAUGUGAGGCUUCUGCUGAAUAAUUGGGCUCAAGGCAGAAUCAUGUAAACAGUCUUGUAGGGGCUUUCUGGGAAAAAAAAACAAACAACAUUCCUGACUCCAAGCCUAUCCCUUUCCCAGAAAUAAACUGCACUGUCCUCAUGCUGGGCUUUUGCACUGCUUCUAACACAGUCUGUGUGACCCAACCACUGUGGAUGAAAAUCUGUGCACAGGAUUAAUCUCCCACAAUGCCAGGUAGCACAGCUAAUGGCAUCUUUCAGCUGCAUACAAGACUACUUUAAAA
rnacentral:lncRNA from 1 species